UUCAAGAGUGCUUGUGAAUUAAGAUUCAUGGAAAUAGAAAGCAUUGAAAAUUUUUCAGGCUUUAAAAGAGGUUUCAACAAAUAACUUCAUAGCACAUGCUUUUUUAAAAAGGUUUUGAAACUAGGGAAAAGAUUUUUAACUAAGUAACUUAAAUCAACUGAGGCAUGUUUAGUUCUAGUUUCCUUUGAUAAUUUCUUUAAGCCUUCUUGAAUUCAUAAGAAUAAAGAUCUAUAUAUUGUAAUAUUUGUUCACAUAAUGAUUGGGGCGUAUCAGUGCCCAGUGUGUAAUUUUUUUUUAUUUAAAAAACGUCUGCCUAGCUUUCUUCUUGCUGCUCCAAUUAACACAUUCAGUGAAUGCUUGCCAUUGAGUGGUCUGUGUAUAUGGGUUAAACCACUUUGUUAUUUGUUCAGAUUGCAUUGUUUUGUAGCAGGAAUUAGCUGUGCAUUGUUUAUUCUGUAAAUAAGGAAAAGAAAAAAGCAAAUAAAAAUAAAUGGAAUCUUAAAUGAUUAGGGGCUGUAUGAUUAUAAAUAACAAGGAGUAAUUAUUAGGUUGGAGAAAACCUCUUGUGUUUUCAGAUGUGGUUCAGUCCAUUGAGUAGUGUUUAUCUCCUCCCCUCUGGCCCCACUUCAAAUGAUGGAGACAGAGAAUAGUGAAAUUCUAGUGCUAUGAUUCCUCUUGCUGUCAGAUCCAUUGUUAACUUUAUUUCAUUUAUUAAAGUGUUCUUGCCAUGAAGAUCCUAUCUUUUCGGCUUAUGUUUCUUCUUUUUAAGAAUUUGUUUUAAGAUGUAGAGAUAAUACCUUUGAUUAUUUUAAUGCAGAGUCAGAUGAAGGUAAAGCAGUGUCCUUUUAUUGCUAGAGCUGAAGCUGGAUUUGAGUGGUAUCAAGCUGGCUGGUCCAAGGGGUCAAUUCUCCUGGAUAUUAAUUUUUUUUGCCACCAGCUGUUUGUGAAGCGUAGCUCUGGGCAAUAGCAACAAAAGAUACACGGACCGGAGCCUGUGGGCUGGUGAAUGAGAGAUGGAGCGUUUCUUGGGGUUGGUCAAGCAGAUAAGGAGAUCCAGGAGAAGAAAAGGCAAAAAGUACUGUCCGGAGGAGGAUUAUCAUGAGGGUUAUGAGGAUGUAUAUUAUUAUGCCUCAGAGCACUUUCCAAUUUAUCUCCUUUUCCGGGAGGAGGAAGAAACAGAAGUUUUGGAGUUUUGGAAAAGCACAUUGCUGCAAUCAUGAGGCAAUGCUAGAUUUACCAACAGUACAGUUUUUGAUUUAGAAUUGUCAUUUAAAAAAAAAAAAAAAAAA